UGGUAAUCCAUGAGGUGAAAUCUUCAAACG
rnacentral:piRNA from 1 species